UACGUAGGUGGCGAGCGUUGUCCGGAAUCACUGGGCGUAAAGCGCGCGCAGGCGGCGAUCUACGUCUGGGGUGAAAGCCCGGAGCUCAACUCCGGGACUGCCUUGGAUACGGGAUCGCUUGAGGAUUGGAGAGGCAAGGGGAAUUCCACGUGUAGCGGUGAAAUGCGUAGAGAUGUGGAGGAACACCAGCGGUGUAGACGGCUUUCUGGACCAUUGCUGACGCUGAGACACGAAAGCGUGGGUAGCAAACAGG
rnacentral:rRNA from 1 species